rnacentral:rRNA from 1 species
CCUACGGGAGGCAGCAGUGAGGAAUAUUGGUCAAUGGGCGCGAGCCUGAACCAGCCAAGUAGCGUGAAGGAUGACUGCCCUCCGGGUUGUAAACUUCUUUUAUCAAGGAAUAAAGUGAGGCUCGUGUGCCUUUUUGUAUGUACUUUAUGAAUAAGCAGCGGCUAACGUUGUGCCAGCAGCCGCGGUAAUACGGAGGAUCCGAGCGUUAUGCGGAUUUAUUGGGGUUAAAGGGAGCGUAGAUGGGUUGUUAAGUCAGUUGUGAAAGUUUGCGGCUCAACCGUGAAAUUGCAAUUGAUACUGGCAGCCUUGAGUACAGUUGAGGUAGGCGGAAUUCGUGGUGUAGCGGUGAAAUGCUUAGAUAUCACGAAGAACUCCGAUUGCGAAGGCAGGCUACUAAGCUGCCACUGACAUUGAGGCUCGAAAGUGUGGGUAUCAAACAGGAUUAGAUACCCGGGUAGUC